rnacentral:misc_RNA from 1 species
CGUCACCAGUUCCCCCCGCGACAUCGAAGCGGACGCACGUUCUGAAGUUUUGGCGCCAUCCCGGUGCGUGAGACCGGUGUCACCGAUUAUCAUGUCAUUCGAAAAUGAACAGCGUCGGCUCGAGUCUCUUCUACAAGAAGUACUCGAUGAGGACGGGCCAUCAACGCCAUCAGACAUCGCCAUCAGACAAGUGCAAAAAAUAUUUGUGUCUUGAACAUGUAGUGCCUUUCUGCAGAAGCUGUUUGACUGAAGAAUAGUCAUUUUUUAUAUUUUUUUUUGUU